rnacentral:lncRNA from 1 species
UAGGAAGAUUAGCCCUGAGCUGACAUCUGCUGCCAGUCCUUCUCUUUUUGCUGAGGAAGAGUGGUCCUAAGCUAACAUCUGUACCCAUCUUCCUCUAUUUUAUGUCUGGGACGCCUGCCACAGCAUAGCUCAGAAUUCAUCAUUUUGAAGAUACAAUUACUACUUCACUUUAACAAACAGGUGUUUUUCUUUAUGCUUCAUCAUUCCUGAUGAAAGGAACAAAACAAUAAAAAGAAAAGCUACAGGUUACUCUGAAGAGUCACCGAGUUUCUCAGGGGAGUGGUUGUCUUAGGUGGCGCUCUGACCAUAGCACUGAGAGCCACACUGGUCCAGUGAGUAAAGCAUGGCCCUUUGGAAUCAUAACAUGCUGGUACAUUUCUUUUCCCAUUGCUGCUCUC